CCAGACAAAAAAAAUUUCUAGAUCCGCCACUGUUUCAUGGUCUAGUACUGGGUAAUGCUGUUUUUUAAGAAUUUUCUUUGUUGUCUUUAUUAAGUAUGAUGCUUCUGUCUAAUAUUAGCAUUUGUUUGACAUACCAUUUUUUCUGUCUCUAACGAAGAAAAUUGCCAACCGUUUUAUAUUUGGCUUUGAUCUUAAGUGCAUCUGACUUGAGUAUAUAGUUUCAAUCUCUCAAUAUUUAUCUGUUUGAUGAAAAAAAUAUCCCACACAAGGAUGUCAAAUAGGAAAAGUGUUCUCUCAUUGAAUAUCUUUAUGCU
rnacentral:misc_RNA from 1 species